CCUACGGGUGGCAGCAGUGAGGAAUAUUGGUCAAUGGACGCAAGUCUGAACCAGCCACGCCGCGUGCAGGAAGACGGCCCUAUGAGUUGUAAACUCCUUUUGUACGAGAGUAAACGCAGAUACGCGUAUCUUUCUGAAAGUAUCGUACCAUUAAAGAACGGAUAACCCCGUUCCAGCAGCCGCGGUAAUACGGAGGAUGCGAGAGUUAUCCGGAUUUAGUGGGUGUAAAGGGUGUGUAGGCGUGCGUAUAAGUUCGAGUUGAAAUCCCGGGGCUCAACUUCGGAAUUGCCUCUGAUACUGGUCGGCUAGAGUGUAGUAGAGGUAGGCGGAAU
rnacentral:rRNA from 1 species